AGCGGGCGAGCCUGGCCUCGGAGGGGAGCAGCCCGGGCCAGCAGCUGCCGGGAGAGGAGGCUUCGGCCGCGCUCCGGGACGUGGAGGGACACACGGGGUCGGUCAGUAAAAGGGAGGAGCCAGAGGGCACCGAGCCGCUGCCUGCAGGAGGGGAGGAGAGCUCCGAGCUGCCCUCCGUGUGGCGAGAGGAGAGCGGGGGCCCCUCGCCGCCAGCGCCAGGAGAAGAUGCUGGGGCACCAUCGCCAGAACCAGCAGAGGACAGUGGGCUGGCAGAGGGCAGUGACAGCUCUCUAGUGGAAGUCGUCGAGAAAGUACAUAUUGCUGAAGAGGAGCACCUCGCUGAGGGUGAGACGGGAGAACAGGUGGAAACUGAGCUGCUCAGUGAGACAGUAAGUGAAGGGCCUGAAACAAAAGAAGAAGAAACAGGAGAAGCUGUGGAUAGUGCAGCAGCGACAGAGAUAGGCAUACAGCUGCUUUCUGCAUUUUUACACAAGAGAAUCAAAAAUACUUUACAGUAAAAGACAUUUUUGGAAGCAACCAAUUGGAAGUCAUGCUUUUCACAUGGGUCAUCUUUAUAUAAUACACAAGCCUUAUCAGUGAUAACUUUACCCACUUUGGGAAGAAUGAUAGACUGUAACAUGCAGUCUUGGAAAAUAAAAAACCUUUGUUCAA